AGUGAACGCUGGCGGUAGGCCUAACACAUGCAAGUCGAACGGCAGCACAGUAAGAGCUUGCUCUUACGGGUGGCGAGUGGCGGGCGGGUGAGGAAUACAUCGGAAUCUACUUUUUCGUGGGGGAUAACGUAGGGAAACUUACGCUAAUACCGCAUACGACCUACGGGUGAAAGCAGGGGAUCUUCGGACCUUGCGCGAUUGAAUGAGCCGAUGUCGGAUUAGCUAGUUGGCGGGGUAAAGGCCCACCAAGGCGACGAUCCGUAGCUGGUCUGAGAGGAUGAUCAGCCACACUGGAUCUGAGACACGGUCCAGACUCCUACGGGAGGCAGCAGUGGGGAAUAUUGGACAAUGGGCGCAAGCCUGAUCCAGCCAUACCGCGUGGGUGAAGAAGGCCUUCGGGUUGUAAAGCCCUUUUGUUGGGAAAGAAAAGCAGCAGGUUAAUACCCCGCUGUUCUGACGGUACCCAAAGAAUAAGCACCGGCUAACUUCGUG
rnacentral:rRNA from 1 species